rnacentral:tRNA from 1 species
AAGAGAAUGGCAGAGUGGCAAACGCGGCUGACUUGAAAUUAGCCCACGGGGGUUCGACUCCCUCUUCUCUCG